GCUUAACUCCCAAAGCUUCUUCACUCCGCCUCGAAAUUUACAUGGCCGCCGACGAAGCGGCGGAGAGCAGGCUGUCGGAGUGCUGCAUAUCGCACAAGUUCUAUAAAGUCGCCUCUAAAUCCCCCAACAAGAUAGCAGUUAUACACGCGUCCGGUUUCGCCCGAAAUGCCCGUGAUUCCGCUCAACCAGAUGGUGAUAGCACCAAAUUUGCUACCGCGGAAUCCCGACCUCCGCUUUAUGAUGGCGACCAGUGCUUCACUUUCUCUGAUAUUCUCUCCGCCGUCGACAAUCUGAGUUGGCGGCUCAAUCGAGUCCUUCACGGCACCGGUGACCCGUCUUUGAUUAAACCUCGGCCAGUUAAUAUUCUUCGUGAAAAGUCUACACACGUUUCUGAAUAUUUGGCAAGCUCAAGUCGAAGCAUUCAACGGCCAACUAAGAAUAGGAACAUGCCAAAAGUGGUAGGAAUAUACAUGGAGCCGUCUGUGGAGUACAUUGUUGCCGUUCUUUCUGUUUUAAGGUGUGGGGAAGCAUUCAUGCCUCUAGAUCCCACUUGGCCGAAAGCAAGGAUAUUGUCAUUAAUAUCCUAUUCAAAAGCUGAUCUAGUCAUUGGGACAGAUACGUCAAUCGAGGGGAGUUGUUGUCACAGGCUUGAUUCAUCAAAAUGGCUUGUUGAUGAAGGACAAAGUCCUGUUUUGUCUUUUUCUUUGAAGGAGACCAUCAACGAACAGUCUCGUUUAAUAUUAGGGUGGCCUUGUGAAAAUGAAAGCUUAAGAUCAUUCUGUUACUUGAUGUAUACAUCAGGAUCUACUGGAAAACCUAAAGGUGUAUGUGGCACCGAAAUAGGUCUUCUCAAUCGUCUUUUAUGGAUGCAAGAAAUGUAUCCUCUACAUGAAGGAGAUGUAGUGCUUUUCAAAACAUCAAUAAGCUUCAUUGAUCACCUGCAAGAGUUUCUUGGAUCUGUACUCUCUACGUGUACGUUGGUGAUACCUCCUUUCAGUCAGCUGAAAGAAAAUAUAUUUUAUAUCAUAGACUUUUUACAGGGAUACUUCAUUAGCAGACUUGUAGCAGUACCCUCCUUAAUGAGGACAAUCCUUCCUUGUCUGCGAGGUUCAUGUUUAGCAGCAAUUCAAGAUUCAUUGAAGUUACUUGUGCUAAGUGGUGAAGUUCUAAACAUUCCCUUGUGCAAUAUGCUUCUGAAGUCACUACCCCAGACGUCGAUUUUGAAUCUUUAUGGGAGCACUGAGGUGACAGGUGACUGUACAUACUUUGACUGCAAGAGAUUGUCUCUGCUUCUGGAAAAGGAGGUGCUAAGCAGCGUACCAAUUGGUUUGCCUAUGCCUAACUGUGAUGUGGCUCUUGUUGGUGAAAAUGCUCCACAUGAAGGGGAGAUAUAUGUUGGUGGUCUAUGUGUUGCAGCAGGUUACUUCCUUUAUCCUAAUCUCAAGCCCUUAGUAGAUGAGAAUUUGUCUUCAGAACAUGAUACUAGUGUGUGUAGAGUUCAGCAUCACUUUAAAACUGGUGAUUUCGCCAGAAAGCUCCCUAGUGGUGAUUUGAUUUUUCUUGGAAGGAAAGAUCGUACAGUAAAGGUUAGUGGGCAUCGCAUUGCUCUUGAGGAAAUUGAGAAUGCAUUCCGGGAUCAUCCUGAUGUAGCUGAUGCUGCAGUGUUAUCCCGUGAGGUUGAUGGAGAAUUCUUACUUCUGGAAGCUCAUGUGGUGAUGGAGAAAACUGCCAAACAUGAUAAAUGCUUGAAAAAUUCCCUUAGGAAUUGGUUACUGGGCAAGCUUCCAAGGAUAAUGAUACCAGCCAGCAUCUUGUUAACCAAGUCAUUACCUUUGACUUCUUCAGGGAAGGUUGACUUCCUUUCAUUAGCUGCUUCAACACUUCCCGACCAACAAUCCGUGAUUGAUAUCGGAGAAAUUCCUCAGGACCACGUCAUUCAAGUCAUCAGAAAGGUCUUUUCUGAAGCGUUAAUGGUUGAGAAGGUUUCAGUUCAUGACGAUUUUUUUGUGAUGGGUGGUAAUUCUAUAUCUGCAGCCUAUGUCUCAUUCAAGUUGGGAAUCCAUAUGAAGUUUCUAUACACUUUUCCAACUCCGUUGAGGCUUCAAAUGGCCCUUUUGUCACCCAGGUCUUAUCUAGAAACUAAUACUGAUUUGGCAAUGGAUUCCAGAAGGCUGGAAGGCGGGCUUUUACCAAGGGAGUCAAGGAUUUCCAGUACUCUUGUCGACGAGACUCCUAAAAUAUUAAUUCAGGCUGAUACUGAUGGGGGCAUUUAUAGUCCUACCAAAAAGUCAAAGACUGAAUCAAAUGCAUGUUCCUCAGAGAAGCAAAGCCCUACCAAUAGUUUGUGGAAUCCCACUGCGGUGCAAACUGAAUGCUCGUUUAGUCGAUGCAACAAAAGCACACAUGGAAGACAAUGUGACAGAAGUUACAUAUGCGAUAGUAUAUGGUCCAAUAUUGUACCAGGAGAUGGAAAAGGAUUUAUGCGAAAACAUUGGAAAGUUGACAUGGGUUCUUGUGUUGAUGCAUCACCUCUUGUGGUUUCCAGAGGAAGUAAUAUAUAUUUAUUCAUUGGAUCUCACUCGAACAAGUUUGUUUGUAUUGAUGGAAGAAGUGGGAUUGUUCAAUGGGACACCAAAUUAGAGGGACGUGUAGAAUGCUCAGCUGCAAUUGUUGAUGAAUUUUCUCAGAUUGUAGUUGGUUGUUACCAAGGAAAUAUUUACUUCCUUGACUUUUCAAAUGGCAAUGUCAGCUGGAGUUUUCGAACAAAUGGUGAGGUAAAAUCGCAGCCAGUGGUUGACAAGUGCCGACAUUUGGUUUGGUGUGGAUCUUAUGAUCACAGUCUGUAUGCCAUUGACUACAAAAGCUACUGCUGUAUUUAUAAACUUCCUUGUGGGGGCAGUAUAUUUGGUUCACCUGCUAUAAAUGAGAUGCAACAAACGCUUUAUGUAGCAUCCACCAAUGGUCAUGUUACAGCAUUGGAAAUUAAGAAUCUGCCCUUUAAGAAGUUAUGGAAGCAAAAUGUCGGGGCACCUGUUUUUGGCUCUCUUUCAAUCAAUAAUUCUGAUGGAAAUAUAAUUUGUUGCUUGGUAGAUGGGACUGUUGUUGUCCUCAGAACCUGUGGGUCCAUUGUUUGGAAGGUCAGUACUGAUGGGCCAAUUUUUGCUGGACCCUGCACAGCUCAAGCAUUGCCUUCUCAGGUGCUCAUAUGCUCUAGAGAUGGAUGCAUCUAUUCCUUUGAGAUGGAGACGGGUAUCCUGAUCUGGAAGUACGCAUUAGGACACCCAAUCACAUCAUCUCCUUAUGUUGAUGAGAACACCCACUUGAUGUCCAAUAACACCAACUCAUUUGACAGGUUAAUUUGUGUCUGUGACAGUUCUGGUAGUAUUUAUGUUCUUAGAGUCAGCUCCAACAUGGACAAAGUCGAGGAAUUUGCUCGACUGGACCUGGAAGGCGAUAUCUUCUCUUCCCCAGUGAUGAUUGGGGGCAGGAUUUUUGUGGGUUGUAGGGAUGACCAUGUGUAUUGCAUUAAGCUUGACGUCAAAUAGCUCAAACCUCGACUAUCCAUCUCCACUUCCUCAGCCUCUUGGUUCUACAACCAUCUAAUAACUGCAAAACAAGCUUAAAUGAUGGGUUAUCAAGGGAGAUUUCAAAGCUCUAAUCCAUCAAAGUUUUUAAGUAGGGAGUUAGUCUUAUUAUUUUUACAUGUAUGGGCUAAUACUAAAACGCUCUUUUGCUAGGUAGGUUCUUAUUGGUCACAUGCCCUCAUGGAAUGUAUGUUGUUAAUUUUAUUUUUAGAAUAUAGUUUCUUGGUGGCAUGACAUGCAUUGAUGCUAUAUACAUUAAGCUUAAUGUGGUGAGUGUGGUGAGGGCCGACGUAGGCCGACCAUUUCUUGAUUGGACCAAACUCAUUUUAUAUUUUUAAAAGGAACUAAUUGUAUUUGUUUUUAAUAUAUUGUAUAUGUCAAUAGUUUCUCACUAAGAAGCAUUUAGCAGUAAAAGUUUGAGUGGCAUUAGACUUUUUUUUAAAGAUCCCGCUACAAGGGACUCAAACCCAAGACCUUUGGCCUUAAGCAUUAAUAGAUAUUAUAUCUUUUGAA